GAGUAGAGUGGCGCACGGGUGAGUAACGCGUAGGUGAUCUACCAUUUGGCGGGGGAUAACCAGGAGAAAUUCUGGCUAAUACCGCAUACGUACUGCAAUUUUGAAAGUAGCAGUAGAAAGAAUGCCUCUCCUUGGAAGCAUUUACCAAAUGAUGAGCCUGCGUAGCAUUAGUUUGAUGGUGGGGUAAUGGCCUACCAUGACUACGAUGCUUAGCUGGUCUGAGAGGAUGAUCAGUCACACUGGAACUGAGACACGGUCCAGACUCCUACGGGAGGCAGCAGUGGGGAAUAUUGCGCAAUGGGGGAAACCCUGACGCAGCAAUGCCGAGUGAGUGAGGAAGGCCUUCGGGUUGUAAAGCUCUGUCAGAAGGGAAUAAUGGUGUAGGGUCCAAUAGGCCUUACAUUUGAAGGUACCUUCAAAGGAAGCACCGGCUAACUUCGUGCCAGCAGCCGCGGUAAUACGAAGGGUGCAAGCGUUGUUCGGAUUUAUUGGGCGUAAAGCGCGCGCAGGCGGAUUGUUAAGUCAGAUGUGAAAUCUCGGGGCUCAACCUCGAAACUGCGUCUGAAACUGAUAAUCUAGAAUCUCGGAGGGGGAAGGGGAAUUUCGCAUGUAGGGGUAAAAUCCGUAGAGAUGCGAAGGAACACCAGAGGCGAAGGCGCCUUCCUGGACGAGUAUUGACGCUGAGGCGCGAAAGCGUGGGUAGCAAACAGGAUUAGAUACCCUGGUAGUCCACGCCGUAAACGAUGUGCACUAGAUAUUGGAGGUUUGACCCCUUCAGUGUCGUAGCUAACGCAUUAAGUGCACCGCCUGGGGAGUACGGUCGCAAGACUAAAACUCAAAGGAAUUGACGGGGGCCCGCACAAGCGGUGGAUUAUGUGGUUUAAUUCGAAGCAACGCGCAGAACCUUACCUAGGCUUGAAAUCCUGAGAAUCUAAUGGAAACAUUGGAGUGCUCUUCGGAGAAUUCAGUGACAGGCGCUGCAUGGCUGUCGUCAGCUCGUGUCGUGAGAUGUUGGGUUAAGUCUCGCAACGAGCGCAACCCCUAUCCUUAGUUGCCAGCAUUAAGUUGGGCACUCUAGGGAGACUGCCCGGGCUAACCGGGA
rnacentral:rRNA from 2 species